rnacentral:rRNA from 1 species
UACAGAGGGGGCAAGCGUUGUUCGGAAUCACUGGGCGUAAAGGGUGCGUAGGCGGGUCUUUAAGUCAGGGGUGAAAUCCUGGAGCUCAACUCCAGAACUGCCUUUGAUACUGAAGAUCUUGAGUCCGGGAGAGGUGAGUGGAACUGCGAGUGUAGAGGUGAAAUUCGUAGAUAUUCGCAAGAACACCAGUGGCGAAGGCGGCUCACUGGCCCGGUACUGACGCUGAGGCACGAAAGCGUGGGGAGCAAACAGG